GGUAAGUUCCGACCUGCACGAAUGGCGUAAUGAUGGCCAGGCUGUCUCCACCCGAGACUCAGUGAAAUUGAACUCGCUGUGAAGAUGCAGUGUACCCGCGGCAAGACGGAAAGACCCCGUGAACCUUUACUAUAGCUUGACACUGAACAUUGAGCCUUGAUGUGUAGGAUAGGUGGGAGGCUUUGAAGUGUGGACGCCAGUCUGCAUGGAGCCGACCUUGAAAUACCACCCUUUAAUGUUUGAUGUUCUAACGUGGGCCCGUAAUCCGGGUUGCGGACAGUGUCUGGUGGGUAGUUUGACUGGGGCGGUCUCCUCCUAAAGAGUAACGGAGGAGCACGAAGGUUGGCUAAUCCUGGUCGGACAUCAGGAGGUUAGUGCAAUGGCAUAAGCCAGCUUGACUGCGAGCGUGACGGCGCGAGCAGGUGCGAAAGCAGGUCAUAGUGAUCCGGUGGUUCUGAAUGGAAGGGCCAUCGCUCAACGGAUAAAAGGUACUCCGGGGAUAACAGGCUGAUACCGCCCAAGAGUUCAUAUCGACGGCGGUGUUUGGCACCUCGAUGUCGGCUCAUCACAUCCUGGGGCUGAAGUAGGUCCCAAGGGUAUGGCUGUUCGCCAUUUAAAGUGGUACGCGAGCUGGGUUUAGAACGUCGUGAGACAGUUCGGUCCCUAUCUGCCGUGGGCGCUGGAGAACUGAGGGGGGCUGCUCCUAGUACGAGAGGACCGGAGUGGACGCAUCACUGGUGUUCGGGUUGUCAUGCCAAUGGCACUGCCCGGUAGCUAAAUGCGGAAGAGAUAAGUGCUGAAAGCAUCUAAGCACGAAACUUGCC
rnacentral:rRNA from 1 species